GAUUUGGACCAGGCUCCUGCACUGGGCCAGCAGACCAAACCAAUGCAGAGUUCAAUCACAGUCACUGAGUUUUGCUUCAUUGCACGAGGCCCUGUAGCCAACUGACUAACUAAGCUGCAGCCAAUUGACUGGUUGAUGAGCCAGGCUGUGGCUGAUUAAGUUGUUUUCUCGGCCUCAUUUCGAUUUUUCUGCGAACGCUGUCUGAGCAGGCUUCAGAACCCGCUCUGCCCUCGAAGCUGCCUGAGGUGUGCAUCGUGUCUUGCUUUGGCUGUCUUUGGUCACAUACACUCUGCUGAGUCUAACCGGACUAAAGGACAAGGAUAAGAAAUUUUCUUUUCAGCAGUUUCGGCAUGUCAGCAGGGUCUGAGCCGGGAGCAUCCAGUCACCAAGCACAAGGACCUUGGAGGCCGUGGUGCUAUUUCUGGUGGCCACUGGGGAUUGUGGCUCACAGGCUGUGAGAACUCUGUUCAUGGAUCUUUCAAAAGCAAGACGGAAAAUGGAUCUGAUCAUCAUGAAGGAUCAAGAGAAGAUGGAAUAAAGAAAUGAGAAGUAGGCCAAUGAGUUGUCCCAUGGGUGUAAAAGAGGGCACCGUGUGUGUGUGUGUUGGUAACUCAGUGCCUCUGAACAAACUGAUGCUUAUUUACUAUGUGCUCUGUUCUAGAGGAUCAGGCUGCACAGAGAUAUGAAGGUGACAGCAAUAAUAAAAACGGGACGACGAUGGAACCCAGAAAAUGUCUCCUACUGCUUUGUGCCUGCAGUGAAGCAAUGCAUAGCAUCCAAGCAUCCUCCGAGGGAAUCCGCACUAACAGGCUUCAAGGCACAGCCAGCAAGACCAUGUGAGAGAGUGCUGCUGACCUCUCCCACGUACCCUUCCUGCCUG
rnacentral:lncRNA from 1 species